UCCCAUCACACGUGUCGUCUCCUCAUCUGUCCCUUCUACCCUUUUAUCCCCAUCCUCACCCUUCCUCUCCUCUUCCCCGUCCCCCCACUCUCUGGAUAUACACAGCUUCUUCGGUGUAUACGUACGCGUUUUUUUAGGUUUUGACGAAUGGAGCUAGAUUCUGAUGAAGAAGAUCACUGCCUGGCCAUUCCCCGCCGGGAACCUGACGCCGCUCCUCCCUCCGACGAGGACCUCGCCGGCAUCAGGACCGACUCCAGCGCCUCCUCCCUCUUCGGAUCUGACGACAGCCGGAGCACAACGAGCUCCAGCGACAUCUCCGGCAGCAGCGGGGAGAUCCCAGCUGCUGUGGUCGCCGACGUGGUGGUUCCGAGGUUGAUAGCUCCAGCUCCGCCGUCGGAUGCCGACGUGGCGGGUGGAGUCAGGAGGGAGAGGUGCGUUGGGAGGAGCAAGGGGUUGACGUGGGGGACCGCGACGUUAGUGGGGAGACGAAGGGAGAUGGAGGACGCCGUCGCCGUUAUACCGGCUUUUAUGUCUCGCACGUGCGAGACCUUGGGCGGGUGCACGGCUCCAGGUUCUAGAAGCUCCGGAGAGGUCGCGCCCGUACAUUUCUUCGGUGUCUACGACGGGCACGGAGGUUCUCAGGUGGCUAGAUUUUGUGCAGAACAUAUUCAUGAAGCUGUGGCUGCAGAAUGGGAUAGGGGAAAUGGUGAAGAAGGUUGGUGUAGUCGGUGGAAGGAGGCAUUUUCUAAUGGGUUUGAGAGGGUUGAUGGUGAUGUCAAUGUGGAGACAGUAGCAACGGAAAUGGUUGGUUCAACUGCUGUGGUAGUGGUGGUGUCAGGGUGUCAGAUCAUUGCUUCCAAUUGUGGAGACUCAAGGGCAGUUCUCUGUCGGGGGAACCAGACAAUCCCAUUAACUAUUGAUCACAAGCCUGAUAGAGAAGACGAGCUUUUGAGGAUUGAAAGUGGUGGAGGGAGGGUCAUAAGCUGGAAUGGGCCAAGGGUGUUUGGGGUUCUUGCCAUGUCCAGAGCAAUAGGCGAUCGGUAUCUGAGGCCUUGGAUUAUAGCAGUCCCUGAAGUCACUUUUACAACGAGGAGUGAAGAAGAUGAGUGUUUGAUAGUGGCCAGUGAUGGGCUUUGGGAUGUAAUGUCCAAUGACGAGGUAGGGGAGGUUGCUCGUCUCGUACUGAGGCGACACCGCCGAUCUGGACCAGCAGAUGAUAGAUCAUCACCGGCACAAGCUACCGCUGAGCAUCUUGCAGAGCUAGCUUACCGGAAAAAUAGUUCCGACAACAUCUCUAUCAUUGUUGUCGACCUUAAGCCCAAGAGAAAGCGGCAACAGAAACACUUUAAAGGUAUGUAUGGAUGCAGCUCGGGACAGAGGGAUGCAGAGGGUGCUUUUCAACCUUAGAAAAGCAAGCAGGGCUGUGUUUUCAGCCCCAAAGCAGCUGGUUGCAUCGUGCAUGUGCAUUUCAAUGCUUCAACUGUUCAAAUUAUAGAUUUAUAAUUACUGUAAAAUAGAAGGAAAUAGGAAACCGAAAAAUAUAAUUUAAGGACAGGCUAAAGCGUUGUCCUUAAAGCAUUAUUUGCUCCUCCUCAAAAUAAUUAAGAAUGCUGGCAGGUCGCAGGUAAAUAGCUUUCAGGAUACGACGAACCUAUGUGGUUUUGUGUUCAGCAAGCACAAAGGAACUACUGACGGAACUCUGUAAACACAAUUUUACUGGCAGAUGAAAGCUAAGAAGAAAAUUUUCAAAUGGAAAGAAAGAAAAUUGCACUAGUUUGAUUCUUAUGGACCUGCUGGUUUUGUACUUAGGUUCAUAUUGAACUUGCUGACUUGAUCAGAGAACAUUGGGAGCUUGCUGGUUCAUAUGAGAGAAUGAGUUGAUUUGUUUGAGAUGACAGAACGAACCAGUCAAGCUCUAUUUAUAUAGGCAAUGGUGGCUGGACAUUUUAGUCCAGGGUCAUAAAUGCAAUGGACUGUUUCUGACUGUUGGUGAGAAACUAGGUGGGCUUUUUUUUUUUUUUUUGGACCUUUUUACAAGUGAGAAAUUAGCUGCAUGCUAGUCGUUUAGACAACUAGCCACAUGCAACAGUUUUUACAUGGUUUGGUUAAUUACUCCAUGAAUGGUUACAACAUGCCUCAUAAACGGCUCAACAACUCCUAUGUAAAGGAGUGAGGUCUCUCUCAAAGCUCUUACCUACAACACUGCGAACCCAACCACCUAACACAUCUCUCUCUUAGCCACUACGACUUGCACCUGCCUUGCGCCGGUUCAUGUAAGGUCGCGAAGGAGCGACUCAUCUGUGAUAUGACGCACACGUGCAGAGUACACCUCUACAGCCUCUACAACCACACUACCUCACAUGCCCACACCCUCGCAUUGAGUCUGAGACUGUGAUUGAGCUCGUGCGAGCGCGCGUGUUCCAGUACGAAACGCAAGUCUUGGUACUCCUGUCUUACCAAGCAAAUAUUAAGGUCUGUGUGACCUUAUCAAGAGGUUGGAUGGCAAAUAAACACUAUGGUGGGCCCUAGGAAGUUUUUAAUGGUGGCCUCACUUGAUCAGCUCCCUUCAUACAAGUGUUUGACACGUCAGCACAUUGUGCAACUGGAAUUACUGGCCGAUAAUCAGUUGAAGGAAAUGAAAUCAACGCUGGUUUCUCCCAAGUUAUUUAAUCAUGACAGGGCCCGCCAAUGUACUAGGUUACCUGUUUCAUAUAUUUGAAUCAAGGUGGUGGGUUGAUUGCCACCAACAUCAUUCGACAGAGCAUGUAAUGAUCGGUUUCAAGCCCACGGCUCUAUUGUGGACAAGGCAUACCUGAAUACCAAGGUCUCAGGUUCAUCCCCAACUUACCUUUAUAAACAAGAAAGUAUUUUCUAGCAUGUAGCAUAUUUAAGCCUCAUGUAUGCUACAUGAUCCCCUGAAAUGUUGUUAUAUUCUACUGGCAGUCAUGCUAUCAAUAAGAUAAUAGUUAGGUACUGUUUUCUUAUUUUUUGUCUAGAGAAUGUGUUGGACAUGAUGAAAAAUUAGAUUGAUUAUAUUAUUAGAUCAGUCUUCACCCAAGUGAUGACUGGAAGAUUGUGUUUUAAGAAAAAUGAUGGAUUAUAUUAAGGAUAAUCUCCUUUCAUGUAUAUUAGGAAAGAAUAUUUUAUCUUC